CUCUGACUCACACACAAGCUUACUACAGACAAACUCACUUGUAUAAACAGAAGGCUCACUACAAAGAAGUUCAGACACACACACAAGCUCACUGACACACACAUGCUCACUAAAUAGAAGCUCACUGACACAGUCAGUACCAUUUUAACAGAGUUAAGGGCUCCCGGGCAAAGCAAUGCACUGGGGCCCUUCCUACACAACAACUCACAGGAAUUUUAAUUAUUGAUAGACUGCUGAGUCCA